rnacentral:rRNA from 1 species
UACGGAGGGUGCAAGCGUUAAUCGGAAUUACUGGGCGUAAAGCGUGCGUAGGCGGUUCGUUAAGUCUGUUGUGAAAGCCCCCGGGCUCAACCUGGGAAUGGCAAUGGAUACUGGCGAGCUGGAGUGUGUCAGAGGAUGGUGGAAUUCCCGGUGUAGCGGUGAAAUGCGUAGAGAUCGGGAGGAACAUCAGUGGCGAAGGCGGCCAUCUGGGACAACACUGACGCUGAGGCACGAAAGCGUGGG